CAACCAAACUGAAGUCGAGAGUGUAUUGGGCACGAAUUCUCACCACAAAAGUCUCUUAGUGCAUUUCCAGCCCCUUUCCAGAGGGAGUCAAGUGCAGCCCCUUGGCUUUGUUAUAAGCACUCCGCCACCCCCUGUGGUAUCUGAGCGCCUCCAGAAACAAGAGGCACGCCUCACACCCCCCAUGAAACCCUCACUGAGCUGUCAAAGCGACGGGAUUAACUUCAGGCCAAUAACAUGCAAUUAGAUUCAUUUUCCCUCCUUAAGCCUAUUUAGACCACAGCUGAGCAGCUAGUGGUCCCCUUUAGCUGAAUUUAAUUGUGUUUCUUGCACAAUGAGCUGUGAGUUACAGGGGUUGGAAAUGGGCAACCAAGGCGGGCCGUACUGUAUGGUGGAGCGCCGGCUUCCGGAGCAAAGGCAGUUUGGUUACAGCAAAGACGUAGAGGAGGUGAUUGGGGUUGUCGUGGGGCCUCCAGGCAGAAUUCUACAGAGUUUCCCAUCCACGGCCCGAGGGGAAGACUGCUGGCCUUAUUUGCCAUUGUCGGGGGAGUCCAUUCAGCCACCAUUGUGUGCCGACUGACAAUCCCUGCUGAGUUGAGAAGGAGAGAACGAAAGUAGGAUCCAAAGGUUGCCUCCCACAGGAGGGAGAGGCAGAAUAUUAUCAGAUGCGCAGGAAAAUGCCAUUGUUGACAUGGUAAUUGGCAACAAUGCACUAAAACUGCGGGAAAUUCGGGACAGAGUGCUGGCAGACAAUAUCACUUUUGGGAAUGUGAAUACGGUCAGCACAACGACAAUGGCCAGAGUCCUAGAGAAACAUACAAUAAGGAGGAAGCAGUUGUACCCUUUGAGAGAAACGGUGAACGUGUGAAAGAACUCUGGUAUCAAUAUGUCCAGAGAGUGAUGGAGAUGGAAGCCAGGCAAACUGCAUAUACAUUCAUCUUUGUGGAUGAAGCUGGAUUCAACCUGGCAAAAACGCACCGCAGGGGGAAGAAAUGUGAUUGGACAGAGAGCAACCAUGGAUGUCCCAGGCUAGAGAGAAGCUAACAUCACAAAGUGUGUAGCAGUGUCCAAUGAUGGUCUGCUGUUAAACAAACAACUCAUUGGCCCCUACAAUACAGAGAUACUCAUUUAUUUUCUGGAUGACCUGCAUAAUCAACUUGUGCCAGUGGAGGAGAGAGGGGAAAGAAACUACCCUACCUUCGUUGUGUGAGAUAAUGUGGCAUUCCACCACUCUGCUGCAGUCACAGACUGGUUUACUACACAUCCCAGGAUGUCAGUAUUAUUCCUGCCUCCUUACUCUCCCUUCCUAAACCCCAUAGAGGAGUUUUGCUCUGCGUGGAGGUGGAAGGUUUAUGACCAUCAUCCACAUGACCAGAUGUCCUUACUGGAUGCCAUGAAUGUGUGGAGACACUUCUCCUGAAGACUGCCAGGAUGUGGAAACACUUCUCCUGAAGACUGCCAGG